AUGGGAACGCGAAGAACCUUACCUACUCUUGACAUCCAGAGAACUUUCCAGAGAUGGAUUGGUGCCUUCGGGAACGUCUGAGACAGGUGCUGCAUGGCUGUCGUCAGCUCGUGUUGUGAAUGUUGGGUUAAGUCCCGCAACGAGCGCAACCCGUUAUCCUUUGUUGCCAGCGGUUAGGCCGGGAACUCAAAGGAGACUGCCAGUGAUAAACUGGAGGAAGGUGGGGAUGACGUCAAGUCAUCAUGGCCCUUACGAGUAGGGCUACACACGUGCUACAAUGGCGCAUACAAAGAGAAGCGACCUCGCGAGAGCAAGCGGACCUCAUAAAGUGCGUCGUAGUCCGGAUUGGAGUCUGCAACUCGACUCCAUGAAGUCGGAAUCGCUAGUAAUCGUAGAUCAGAAUGCUACGGUGAAUACGUU
rnacentral:rRNA from 1 species